GUAGAGUUUGAUCCUGGCUCAGAUUGAACGCUGGCGGCAGGCCUAACACAUGCAAGUCGAGCGCGAAAACACUUCGGUGUGAGUAAAGCGGCGGACGGGUGAGUAACGCGUAGGAAUCUACCUAGUAGUGGGGGACAACUCGGGGAAACUCGAGCUAAUACCGCAUACGCCCUACGGGGGAAAGCGGGGGACCUUCGGGCCUCGUGCUAUUAGAUGAGCCUGCGUUGGAUUAGCUAGUUGGUGGGGUAAAGGCCUACCAAGGCGACGAUCCAUAGCUGGUCUGAGAGGAUGAUCAGCCACACCGGGACUGAGACACGGCCCGGACUCCUACGGGAGGCAGCAGUGGGGAAUAUUGCGCAAUGGGCGAAAGCCUGACGCAGCCAUGCCGC
rnacentral:rRNA from 1 species